UACGGAGGAUGCGAGCGUUAUCCGGAUUUAUUGGGUUUAAAGGGUGCGUAGGCGGAUCGUUAAGUCAGUGGUCAAAUUGAGGGGCUCAACCCCUUCCCGCCAUUGAAACUGGCGAUCUUGAGUGGAAGAGAAGUAUGCGGAAUGCGUGGUGUAGCGGUGAAAUGCAUAGAUAUCACGCAGAACCCCGAUUGCGAAGGCAGCAUGCCGGCUUCCGACUGACGCUGAAGCGCGAAAGCGUGGGGAGCAAACAGG
rnacentral:rRNA from 1 species